ensembl:lncRNA
CACAUGACUUAUUACACGUUUAACAUGAAUGAUAGGUUUAUAUCAAUGUGCUCGUUAUUGCUCAUUCACAGGGAUCUGGAAUCUACGACUAAUAAUAAACACAGACAGUUAAAUUCACUGGAACAAGACAGGAUAAAAUCCUGAUGAAUAAUCCUGAUAAAAUUUGCUCCCAGACUUUUGAAUUCAAAUUUUCGGUGUUGGUCUGCCCUCAUGUUUAAUUUUCAGUCUCUUCUCGUAAGUGUGAGCACCAGAAGACUAAGCGAGCUGCUAGCAGAAGAAGGAAGUGACUGCUAGCUAGAUUAAUAAACAACAAAUUUCAGAAAUGAAAGACAAAAAGCCAGAACAGCUUGUAGUUACACUGGAAAAUGUAUGUAUUGUGAGGAAUUAGCCCGGGGAAGGGCGGCGCACAGACCCACAGGAGACCAAAGGAUGGUGGCAGACGGUGCUUUAUUGUGGCUAGGGUGAGGUGAACGUGUUAUAAAUGGAAGAGUGCGGGGGUUUGUGAAGGCGCGACGGCCGGCGGAGUCGACUCGUGGCGGAGGCGGGAUUCCCGAGGCGGGGCGGGGGUUUUCCCGGGCCGGCGUCCUCCGUGUGUGCGACUCUCACUAUCCGGCGGUCUCGUCCGCGCUUACGCCUCCUGGAGAGAGAGAGAGAGAGAGAGAGAGAGAGAGAGAGAGAGAGAAAUUAGCGUGGGGCGUGAGGUUACCGUCGUGAUCGGAGGUUGCGAAUCGCUGCAAACACGCACGGAGUCCGUUUUGACGCCACGAUAUUCUCUUCCCCUUCCCGGCCGGAAGCGCGCCCUUUUAUCCUCCUCCGUCGGCGCCUGAGUGGUGGGACUUCCCCGUUGGAUCCGCCAAUCGCUGGCCGGAGUCGCGUCAGUCCCGCCCUGCCGCGGCGGUCCUUCCGGCUGGCGGAAUGUUCGGCAGGAAGCUGCCCACGUCGUGCCGGUGCGGCAGUCGGAGAAGGAGCGUUUUCCCUCUUGUGUGCGCCGGAUCUCUGCCCGUCGCGACAUUCUGCGUGUUGGUCCAGGUGGUGUUGCCGUACCUAGUUGUCCAAGAUGCGUGCGCUACUCAGAUCAGGCAGCGACUCACAUCCAUGGGCCUUGCUGGGCCUCAUAUACGAUACAUCAGAUGUGCUGCUCCUGCAAGGACCGUGUUGCAGCAAGGCAAGAGUGAAAACUCAUCGUACUAGUUGAACACACCUAAGGUAAGGUCAACUAAGUUAAUGUUAAAAUUAUGUUUAUGUUGCUUAGUGUUAGCUUUUUUUUUCUUUUUUUUUUUUGCAAACCAACUUCAACCUACUGUGGCUAGUUUUAUUAAAUUAUUUUUUAAAAUUUUGGUCACAAAGCUGGUAAAUGCAGGCGACUUUAUGCAAAUGUGGAGUGACUUGGUGCAGAGACUACCAAUGGGAGUGAAGACAGGAGAGUGCACGUGAUAAGUAGAAGCUACCAGAAGGAGCGAGGACCUGAGGCUGAGACGCCCGGCUCUGGGAACAAGCAGCACCAAGCCAGCCACUUCACCCAGGAAGCACGGAGACCAUGGCCGAGGAGGCCAUAAGCUAAGCUAAGCUAAGCUAAUUGCACUUUUCCCACAGACAGAUGGCCUCAGUGGCAAAGAGCACACACUGCUUCUCCUCGAUCUCAUAGGAUGUGAUGCAUAUAUACACUGGUGAGUUUUAUAUAAGAUCCUCUUCCUCCAGAAGGUUCCAUUUUAGCAGCAAGAAAACUGAUUAAUUGUCAAAAGUGGAAUGUUAGUCGCACCACCCACUGACAAAUGUUACUAUGACAACUGGUAGCAGGAACACCUACUGGCGACUUCAUAGUACAGCGACUAUGAACGUAGCAUCAGAUAGAUAAGAAAGUUUGAGCAGCGUGUCUCAGCUAGGUUAGAGUUCAGAUGCUGGGAAGGUGGGAUUUACAAGGGAUUCAAGCCUCGAUAUUUUGUGAUAGAAAUAUGUGGACUUGGUGUAUGACUGCAGGUUGCCUUUUGCCUCAUAAAUGAAAUAGUGUAUAGUGAGUGUUGACAUUAUGAAAUUGACUAUUGUAACAAAAAAACAUAUAUUUUAAUACUCAUAUGAAAUAUACAGUAGGAAAAGAAUAAUGUGCACAACAGUUCAGAUAUUCCAAACUGUUGUUUAAUUGAUUUAGCCAUAAUUAUUCAACAGUCAACUCAACAAUUCCGGUAGUAGUAGUAGUAACCCUAACCCAGACAUCACAAUCAUCAUAUUCAUGUGUUCAUAGAUAUAGAACAAAGUGAAAGUAAAAAGUACAGAUGUUUAUUAUAAAACAACAACAAUCACAAAUCAACGCCGAUCAUCUCUGGACAACAGCAACUCAGUCAAUCAGUAGUCCCACCCCACCCCCAACUCCUACAGCCCACACUUCUAUUCAGAAACUGCCUUUACCUUCACACUCUUUGAAGGAAGAUCCACAUGUUGACAUGUUGUGUAUUUGUGUGUGUGUGUGUGUGUGUGUGUGUGUGUGUGUGUGUGUGUGUGUGUGUGUGUGUGUGUGUUUUAAUGCCUGUUCUGGAUUCCUGGAUGUGUAGCCAGAUAGUAAAAUCCAUCUUUUGGGAUCUGCUGUGGAGCUGCUAAGGGCAGAGAAAUACAGAGAAACAUCUGAUUACUAACUGAUAUACUGAAGUUAUUUUAUCAUUCUUAGAGAAGGCAAUCCUGUAAUUCUGCUCCUUUACUUCAAAUGCUGCAUAAAUGAGCAUUAGGCUCUGUUCUGGUAACAAAAGAAAUCUAAAGUAUUAUUUCACAUACAUGCUGCACAUUUUGGACUCUUAUAGACUGUUUUUAGUUUCAGCUGUUUGCCUAAAGUGUGCAGCCUGUCAAUUCUGAAAAAAACAACAACAUUAGUUUAUGAAGCUCACGUUCUCAUUCUGAGUCAUUUAUAUUUCUAAGCCACAUAAAUAAAUAAACUUUACAUUAAUAGUAAACUCACCUGGUUGAGGAGCUGAGGGAGUCUCGUAAAUUGACUCAUAAACAUGUAUCUCAUCCAAAGAUUCUGCUGAGACACAGAGAGUAGGGGUCACCACUAGGGGUCACUAUUCUUAUACACAACUAAUCCCCAUUCUUUUCAUUUCAGUGCAAAGUUUACAGUCAGUAAUGCAGUAAUUAUGUGAUUUGCUUUUAUAGUAUAAUAAUAAUAAUAAUAAGAAGAAGAAGAAGAAGAAGAAUGUUGUGGUCUGAUGAAAAGUUAAUGUUAACACCCCAGAGAUGAUUAUUUUCCAGAUCCCUGAGUGUUUUUUUUCCUCUUAUACCGCAGCAAUUUGCCAACAAUUACACUACAGUUCCUUUGAGACAUGUGAAGUCAGCCAACCACAACUUUUCUUUUUUUUUGACUUUUACUUACAUUUACAUUUAUUCACUAAGCAGACGCUUUUAUCCUAAGCGACUUACAAAUGAGAAAGAUACAAGCAAAGCGAUAUCAAGCAGAGAACAAUACAAGAAGUGCUACCAUACAAGAUCUAUUAAUUGAAUUCCAGAAGAAGCAAAGUGCAGAGUAGAGGUGUAAGUGCAUUUUUUUUAUUAUUAUUAUUAUAAUGAAUUUGUUAGGUGUUCAUAGAAGAGGUGGGUCUUUAGUUGUUUUUUGAAGAUGGUGAGAGAUUCUGCGGUCUGGAUUGAAUUUUUUAUUCAUUUAUCGAGUAAUCGAAGCAGAGCUGGGUGAAGUAUUCCAUAGCUAGCGCCCUCAAUACCACAAACUUGACGCUGAACCUCAUUAAAUGCGGCCCGGGCCCGGGCUGUCUUGGCUGUGUAGACAGGGGAAACGGAGAUGGUCACAUCCCUCACUUUAAUCCGCUGGAGCUCUCUCUCACGGCGUAAAAUAUCAACACAGCCACUGUGAUAGUGGAAUCUGCACACAAUAACUCGUGGUCGUUCACCAGGCUUGGGCUUCGGCUGAAGGGUCCGGUGGGACCGGUCCAGAACCGGCUCCUUCUCCAGACCACACGCUUCUUUUAACAAGGCCGCUACAGCAGCGGUUGUACAGGUGUCAGCGCCCUCUGGAACUCCCACUAUCCUAACGUUAUUGCGCCGUGACCUCGACUCCAAAUCCUCACACUUAUUCUCUAACUGAGUCACGGUCACAGUGAGAGACUCGACAGUAGUCUUCAUAUGAAUCAUGUCAUCGGUGCAACCGGAGAGCGUGUGCUCCAUUUCCCCAACAGUACCUUUCAGUGUUGAUAUGGUAGCCUCGGUAGCGACUUUAUCACUGGCCAGCUGUGUUUUCACGGCCUGCAGGUCAAGCUGGAUAGUAGACAGCGUACCCCCGAGAGUCUUCUGGAGCUUCUGGAGCUCCUUUUUAAAAAUAUCGGCGAUGUCCUUCCUCAGUAAAGCCAGCAGCUCAAGCCUGAGUGCGGCGAAGUCAGGGUCACCGCUCGGCGACGCGGAUUCAGAGAGAGAAGGGGACUCGCUCACGGCGUGCACACUUGGCCUCAGUCGUGUCUGAAUACUACCACAGGUUUUCGUGUUCUUUCCAGACAUUUUAACAUACCACAAAGUUAAAAUUACAAACAAGGAAACAGAGUAGAAUAAUUCAAAAUAUAUUGUAUGACCGAAAAGCGCUAAUUAAUUACAAUUACACGAAAUCAGCAGGAGCCUCCAACUUCGCGUCCUACUCCAUCGAAUUCCGAAUUCCCAUUCAACCACAACUUUUCAACCUGCGUCACAGAGCAACAUAACACAUUCAUAAUAAAUCUACCUUCUUCCACAUACAGAAGUCUAACAGACAGAUGAUUGUCUAAAUCAGGUGUGUCUAAUCUUAUUGGGAAAGGGCCGGUGUGGGUGCAGGUUUUCAUUCCAACCAAGCAGGAGCCACACCUGAGUCUACUGAAAGCCAAGAUCAACUGAUUAAACAGGUGAAGGUAAAUUGUAAGUCGCUUUGGAUAAAAGCAUCUGCUAAAUGAAUAAAUGUAAUGUAAAUGCAGAUGUAAAUCAGGUGUGGCUCCUGCUUGGUUGGAAUGAAAACCUGCACCACACUGGCCAAUUGCAGAUAAGAUUGGACACCCCUAGUCUAGUGUUACUGACUUACAGGGGAGAGACAGUAUGCCCCUCCUAUUUUGCUCUCUUGGCCAUAGAUAUCUGUGGCAUCAUUGGGACUUGAUCUCCAGACGAUAGGGUGAAGGCUUUUCUGCUGUGCCACUCAGGAACCUGACUGAUAAAGCUUUAAAAUGCUCCUUCUAAUAGGAACCCUUCAAAAACGAGGUUUCAUCUCCAGAUAAAACUUUGUGACAUUGUGUGUGAAGAUAAUGUUUUAAGUGAUUACCUUUUUCAGCUGAAUCGUGCUGUACUUUGGCGGUGCUACCUGAAUGAAGAGGUAAUAAUAAGAGUUAAACGGGUUGCGGAUUCUGUCAGGCUUUAAUGCAGAGGAACAACACUACAUAUGAAAAAAAUUAACAUGUUUUACAUUAAGUGUCACAUAUUCCUCGUAAUGAAGGUUAGGAUGGAUGCAAAUGCAGGUAAGAGUUUAUUAGAGAGAGGCAGGUAGAUAAAUCCAAAUCAUAAGACAAUAGCGUGGUCGAAAUAACAGGUAAUGGGUCAGGCGAUCUACAAACAGGCAUAAACUGGGCAAGGCUAGAAUCAAGAACAAUAAACGAGAAACAAGGUCAAUGAACAUGAUGCAAAAUGAGAAACAAGGAACAACCGCUUGGUAUGGUGAUAACACUCAAUACUUCACAAAGUCAUGGUGUUAAAAAAGUUUCUUUUAUAGCGUGAAGUGAGUGAGUGUGAGAUGGGCAACAGGUGUGUGUGAUUAGAAUUCCGGAGAAGAUGAACGUGGGGAGGGGGAGUGUAGUCCAUGGCGGCCACGUUUUUAGGCCACAGUGCAGGAUGGGAAAUGUAAUCACUGGUUUGCUGUGAUAUGACAUUAAGAUUCAUUUAACUGACAGUGUUUACUGCAUGAAUAAAUGAUAAACUUCAGCAUUUAUAAAGUAUAAAGUUAAUAAGACAAAAGAUGUCCUGAGGAUGUCUGAAAACUUAAAAUUACAGCUUUACCUCUGACUGUUGCAAAGCACUGACACUGGAGACUCCUUCCAUUCAUGUUACAUGAACAUCUCCUUGUCACCAUAUCAACAAUUACAUACAUUUUUUAAUUUGUUUGUGUGAAGCUGUGCACAAAGUGCAUUAAUAUAAACCUACUCUACUGUCAGAGCUGUUGUUCUAGAAAAUUGCACAAUCACUAAUGUCAAAUAAACAGUGAGCAGUAUAUCUAACAAAACAAAUGAUCCAAGAGAUAAGGACAGGCCAAGCAGGUUAGUGGGUUAGCAUUCUAGCUCAGUAGUGAAGAUAAUAAAACUUUACUGUAUAUAAUUUAAAUGAAAUGUUACCUUUCCUUUUGGAGAAACACCUCCACAGAACCAGAAGUGACACUAAAACAAGCGCACAACCCCCGGCUACUAAAGCUGUUACCGUCAACCAAUCUGAAAACCAAAUCACAUGAUCACCUCAGAUGUGUUUACCAAAAGAUAAACAACUAUUUAAAAAUAAAAAUAAAACAUCUCUGUAGUUACCUGUUCAUAUACUCUCAGAUAGUGGUGCUUGAAAGUUUGGAAAUUAGAGUCAGGUGUUUUCAAUCAAUGAAAUGAUUGGUAUAAUUAGGUGUGAGUGAGCAUCCUGUUUUAUUUAAAGAACAGCGAUUAAUCAGAGUCUGAUCUUCACAACAUGUGUUUGUAGAAGUGCAUCAUGGCAUGAACAAAGGAGAUUUCUGAGGACCUCAGAUAAAGAGAUGUUGAUGCUCAUCAGGCUGGAAAAGUUUACAAAACAAUCUAUUAAGAGUAUGGACUCCACCAACCCACAGUCAUAUUGGGUAUAAAUGGAGGAAAUUCAACACCAUUGUUCACCUCCCCAGGAGUGGAGACCAACAAAGAUCACUCCAAGAACAAGACGUGUAAUAGUCCACGAGGUCACAAAGGAACCCAGGGUAACUUCCAAGCAACUAAAGUCCUCUCUCACACUGGCUAAUGUUAAUGUUCAUGAGUCCACCAUCAGGAGAACACUGAAGAACAAUGGUGUGCAUGGCAGGACUACAAGGUGGAAGUCACCGCUCUCCAAAAAGAACAUUGCUCUCCUCCUGCAGUUUGAUAAAGAUCAUGUGGACGAGCCAGAAGUGUAAUGGAAAAAUGUUUUGUGGAUGGAGGAGACCAAAAUAUAAUUUUUUGGUUUAAAUGAGAAGUGUUAUGUUUGGAUAAAGGAAAACGCUGCAUUCCAGCAUAAGAACCUUCUCCCAUCGGUGAAACAUGGUGGUGGUAGUGUCAGGGUUUGGACCUCUUUUGCCUAAUCAGGUCCACGACGACUCGGCAUCACUGAUGGAACAAUGAGUUCUGAAUUAUAUCAGUGAAAUUUAAAGGAAAAUGUCAGGACAUCUGUCUGUGAACUGAAUCUGAAGAGAAAGUGGGUCAUGCAGCAAGACAAUGAGCCUAAGAACACGAGUCGUUCUACCAGAGAACGCUUAAAGAAGAAUAAAGUUAAUGUUUUGGAACGGCCGAGUCAAAGCCCUGACCUCAAUCCAGUAGAGAUGUUGUGGAAGAACCUGAAGCGAGCAGUUCAUGUGAGGAAACCCACCAACACCCCAGAGCUGAAGCUGUUCUGUACUGAGGAACGGGAUAAAACUCCUCCGAGACGACGUGCAGAUGAUCAACACUUACCCCAAACGUUUAUCUGCAGUUAUCACUGCACAAGGGGUCACACCACAUACUGAAAGCAAAGGAGCACAUACUUUCACCCCUCACAGAUCUGUAAUACUGGAUCAAUUUCCUCAGUAAAUAAAUGACCAAGUAUAAUAUUUUUGUCUCAUUUGUUUAACUGGGUUCUCUUUAUCUACCUUUAGGAAUCUGCUGAUGUUUUAGGUUAAUGCGGAAAUGUAUAAAAUUCGAAACACAAACUUUCAAGCACCACCGUAAAUAAUAAUAUGUUAACAAUAAAAUAUAUAAUUGAUUAAUUAUUCAUUUUCAGAAUUGUUAAUUAUUUGUAAUUAUGUUAAUAAUAAUAGAAGAAUACUAAAUAAUAUGAUCAUAGUACUAAUUUAUACUUAUAACAGGAAGCAGUAGAAGAAAUUAAAAAUAAUGAAAAAUAAAUUAUAUAUAAAAUAAAACUCUAAAAUAAUAAUAAUUGUGUGGUGGAGUUUUAAUGAAAGCAAUGGUCAGACCACUUACCCCCCGUUUUCAUGAUUUUCAGAGUCUUUGAUGUCACACUGACCUCCACUGCGUUCUCAUUACAGUAAUAUCGACCAGAGUCUGAGAACGAGACAUUAAAUAUACUCAGAAUCAGACGUCUUCCUGAGCUGUAACGUCUGUCUGGAUCAGUGAUGUGUUUGAUAACCGUGUCCUUGUAGACGCUGAGAAUCUUCUCCCUUUUUCCACCCACAUCUCUGCUCCAGGUCACGUUACCGUUAGUCUCUCCACAUUUAAGCAUACAGAUGUUUUUCUCUGGACAAAAUGUUUCUGUCAGUCAGAGUGCAGGAGAAAAUACAGUGUCAGUAAACAGUCGAAGUCAAGCUGCCUCAGUAAAACUUCCUCGUUCUGUAAAACUAGUUUGCUCUUAGCUAUGUUUAUUCACUAAAUUAACCAGUGUAGAUGGUGAUAGACGUCUGUUUUGAGGGACUGUCACACCUUCCUUUAUGUGCUGCCUUCAUGUGAAUAAUUCCAACCAAAAAAGUAGAACUGGUUAUGACUCAAAGGCCUGCUGAUAUAAACCACCACCACCAACGUGCUUCUUUCCUACAGAUGUUUAAACAUCUGUCUAGUCAGAGGUGGGUAGUAACGCACUACAUUUGCUUCAUUACAUUUACUUGGGUACAUUUUUUAAAUUUAAUUUUAAGAGUGGGUUUAACUGGCCAUACUUAUACUCUUACCCAAGUUCAUUUUAAUCACAGAAAUGUACUUUUACUGCUCUACAUUCGGUGGCGUUCCUUCGUCACUGUGCAAUGUUAACCAAUUAGUUUAGAUGACAAACGAGUUCACGAGUCUCGCAAUACGCUACAGUGAUCUGAAUGUGAACGCAACAACUGCUCAAUUACCACGACGGAAACAGGACACACGCACUCUCUCUAUCUCUGUCCCUCUCUCUCCCCCUCCCUCUCUAUCUCUCUAUCGCUCUCUUUCUCCCUCUAUCUCUCUGUCUCUCUCUCUCUAUCUCUCUGUCACUCUCUCUCUCUCUCUCUCUCUCUCUCUCUCUGUCUCUCUCUCUCUAUCUCUCUCUCCCUCUAUCUUCUCUCUCUCUGCCCUUCUAUCUCUCACUCUACACACACUUUCUGUUCUGUUCCAUAGUCUGUUCUUCUGGUCUCGUUCUCUUGUUUUAAUGCAGAUGCUCACAAGUUUGUGUUAUUACCAUUUUGUGAAAAUAAAGAAAAAAAAAGUCACCUGUUGGGAAAAUGUUUGAUUUCUGUGUUGAAAAUGACAGGAUGUGUUAUUGUACCCAUCACAGGACUGGGAUACGCUGCUUCAUCUUGAACCCAGGUUUUAUAGCAUAUAAACAGAACAGAAAACCUUUCCAGGAGAGACGUGACUUACAGUUCUCCAUGUGGCCUGAGAUUCAGGAUUUUCCUUCAUUUAAUCUUACUCUUACUCAAGUCAUUAUUCACAUUAUUACUUUACUCUUACUUGAGUAGGCGUAAUUAUUUUUAAAAGUAGCUUUACUACUUAUAGUAAAACAAGUAACUUCGAGUAAAAGUUUUGGCUACUCUACCCACCUCAUCUAUUUGCGUAUACAGUAUCAAUACAUCAAUACGUUUACCGUCACAAACCACAUCCUAAAUGAAGAGGAAGAAGAAACCUCUCUGUGGUUUGAUUUCCGUCAUUACAUUUUAAUUUAAUCCAUAUAUAAGACGUUAUUUCUAAUCUGUACAUACUGUAUUUUUUCAUCAGUGGUAGAAAGAUCAGGAAUAAAAAGCUCCUUUUGCAUAAUGUGCCUAAUAUUGACUGUAUAUAGUUGGAAUGUGUUGAUAGGAGAAAUCAAAAGUUUGAGAUCUCCUGCUGUAGAGCAUUUAUGGAUCAUUGUAAUAUUGUACACAAUACCUUAACAGGUGUGGUACUGUGCAGUGCUGCUAUACUGGAAGGGUUUAGGGUUUAUAUAUAUAUAUAGGAUGUGGAAGCACUCACCGCUGUUGGCCGUGUGUACGCUCACACACAGCAGGAGACAGAUGAACCCGGUAUUCUCCAUCACGACUGAAUGUAAGAGUUAAAGAUGAAACACAGCGAACUUUACACCCUGUGAACAGACUGAAGCUCCGAGGUGCAGUGUGUGAUGAGCAGUGUGAGGAAGUGAGAUGAGGCUGAGGAAGUGAUGUAAUGUUAUGUAUCCCUGAUUGUGGGUGUGUGUUUGUGUGUGUGUGUGUGUGUGUGUGUGUGUGUGUGUGUGACUUUGUUUACUUGUGGGCAUGACCUCAAAAAGACAACAAAAGGAGCACAACUAAUCAUCUCAGAAAUGUGUGUUUCUCUAAUAUUUGUGAUUAUGGUAAAGGUCUCGGGGGAUUUUAAGUGAACUUAAACACAUUUAAGAUAAGUGUAAUGAUAGGCGUGUGAGAAUGUGUGAUAAUAAAGAGAAGUGAUAGAAAAGGCAUCAUAUUUGAAUCAGGAAGAAUUUGGUCACUUUAUGUAUUACAGAAACACAAAUGAACACAAUGUAAACAUGCUCUCAAUAUGUUUUUAUUUUUAUACAUUAAAUCACAAACAUAACAGAAAUACAUUAUGUGAUCUCCUCACCACCUAUAUGUUUUUCUUCCACAAACUGUUCCACAGUUGUAUAGAACGUCUCUGUACGCUGUAGCAUUACAGUUUCCCUUCACUGGAACUAAGAGGCCCAAACACUGUUCCAGCAUGACAGACAGUGCACGAAGCGAGCUCCAUGAAGACGUGGUGUGUGACGGUUGGAAGAAGGUGCAAGAACUCGAGUGUCCUGUACAGAGCCCUGACCUCAACCCCACUGAACACCUUUAGGGUGAACUGGAACUGGAGCCUCCUCACAUCGACAUCAGCACCUGACCUCAACCUUAUUAAUGCUCUUGUUACUUGAAUGAUCAUUAAUCCCCACAGCUACGAUACAAAAUUUAGUGGAAAGCCUUCCCAGAAGAUUGGAGGAGGUUGUUAUAACAGCAAUGGUGGAAUAAAUCUGGAAAGGGAUGGUCAACAAACACAAUUCAACCUGCCGUGAACUACCUAACUGGUAAGUCAGAUAUGGCUAUGUGCAGCACUGGGGCUUCUCAGGGGACUGUACUGGCUCCAUUCCUGUUCAAUCCUCCAUUCAGAUUUUAGGUAUAACACAGAGUCAUGUCAUGUGCAGAAGUACAUGCAUCGGAGGUGGGCAGGGGGAUGAGUAUAUGGCCUUGGUGGAGAACUUUGCUGAGUGGUGCAAACUGCAGCUGAACAUUGGAGGUAGUGGACACAUAUAAGUACCUGGACCUGCAAUAAAUUACUGUGCUUUUUUAUUGUAUUUAUGGUUAUCUGUGAAUGUUUGUCUUUUACCACUACUGUAAUUUUGCAAUUUCCAUCAGGAUUAAUAAAGUUUCUUUCUUUCUUUCUUUCUUUCUUUCUUUCUUUCUUUCUUUCUUUCUUUCUAUCUAUGUGUCACGUAAUUAAAAGUAAUGGAGGUUAGGACAGAUGCAAGUGCAGAUAAGAGCUUUUAAUAAAGAGAGGCAGGCAGACAAAUCCAAAUCAUGAGACAAUAGCAUGGUCAAAUAACAGGCAAUGGGUCAAGCAAUUGACAAAACAGGAAUCAUGAAUGAGGGUGAGAACAAGAUCAAACAAUAACACAUGAAGCAAGAAACAAACGCCUGGUAUACGGAAACUCACCUAAUACUCGCUAAGUACAAAGGGACACGAGGGGUUUAAGUACUAAACAUAAUCGGGGUGAAACACAAAACAGCUGAGACUAAUGAUGACACAUGCGGGAAACAAACAGUGACAAUACAGGGGCAGAGACAGGGCCAAAAACCAUAACAAAUGCACGUGUUGAAGGUAAAUUAAGUCAGUGUCACUGAAAACGAAGAUGUUAGAGUGAAACAUAGAAUGUCAAUUGUGGUGUUUAAGGACAGUGAGGAGAGGAGGCUAUCAGAGGGAAGUGAGGUUGUGACAAUGGAAGAGAAUUGUGAGGGGGGAAAGGGAGCGAAGAUUGCCACAAAAGGAGAUAGAGAUAGAGGUUGAAGACUGUGAGGGGGUGAGGGGAGAGAAAUAGAAAACUGGAUAAAGAAAUGGUAAGAGGUGUGGAGAGGAGUAACAAGUAAUAAUUUUGUGUGAGUUACAUGUGAGGAUGAGGUCAAGCUAGUUGCCGGCUUUGUGAGUUGCUGGGGUGGCCAACUGCUUGAGGUCAAACGUGGGAAGGAGCGCAAGAAAAAACAUUCGUUUAUGAAGUUCACGUUCUCAUUCUGAGUAAUUUAUAUUUAUAAGCCACAUAAAUAAACUCUAUAUUAACAGUAAUUUCACCUGGUCGAGGAGCUGAUGGAGUCUCGUUGAUGUAUACCGAUGUGUACAGAUCCGAAGAUCCUGCUGAGACACAGAGAGUAGGGGUCACUACUAGGGGUCACUAUUCUUAUCCACAACUAAUCCCCAUUCUUUCAUAUAAAAUGUUUCAGGAUCAAAGUACAAAGUUUUUAGUUAUUGAUGUGGUUUGCUUUUAUAAUGUUUGCUUUAUUUAAUGUUGUGGAAAAUGUUAUUUUCCCGAUCCCUGAGUGUUUUUUUCCUGUUAUACCACUGCAAUUUGUCAACGAUUACACUACAGGUCCUUUGAGACAUGUGAAGUCAGUCAUAGCACAACUUUUCAAUCUGCGUCACAAGGCAGCGUAACACACUCAGAGGAAAUCUACCGUCUUCCACAUAGGGUUACUGUGACUUAUAGGGGAGAGACAGCAUUGGUCACAGAUAUCUGUGGCAUCGUUGGGACUCGAUCUCCAGACGUAAGGGUGAAGGCUUUUCUGCUGUGCCACUCAGGAGCCUGACUGAUAAUUUUCAGGUCAAGUCAUAGCACAGAUUCCAGAUCCCAGCAUGCACUGCAGCCUACAGACAUGUGGGACUCCACUUCUCCACUAUCCUCUGACAUCCUGUUUGUAGAUCACCUGACCUUAGCCUGUCCCUGUUUUUGAGAACUGUCUUUAAGCACUAUAUUUGGAUUAUUUGCCUGGACUGUAAUUAUACUGCCUUAACUACAUCUGCAUCUGUCUCCACUUUCAAUAAGUGACAAUAAAGCUUUACAAUGCUCCUUCUAAUAGGAACCCUUCAAAUACAGAUUUAAUCUCCAGAUAAAACCUUCUGACAUUGUGUGUGAAGAUAAUGUUUUAAGUGAUUACCUUUUUCAGCUGAAUCGUGGUGUACUUUGGCGGUGCUACCUGAAUGUAGAGGUAAUAAUAAGAGUUAAACGGGUUGCGGAUUCUGUCAGUUAAUAAGACAAAAAAAACCCCACAGAUUGUCAUGUUACUGAGAAACCACAAAGUGUAAACUCUUCAGUCCUGAAGAUGCCAGAAAACUUAAAAUAACAGCUUCACCUCAGACUGUUACAAAGCGCUGACACUAGAGACUCCUUCCUUACAUGUUACAUAAACCUCCUUACAGAAAACAUAUCAAUAUAUCAACAAUUACACACAUUUUCUAAUCUGAUACUGUUACUUUUCUAUACUUUUUUAACUGUUACUAUAAAAACAAUAGCAUAUUAGAGAGAGAGCAUUAAUAUAAAUCUGUGAUAUAAACCUGCAGCUGCACUACUGUCAGAGCUGAGAACUGCACAAUCACUAAUGUAAAAUAAACAGUGAGCAGUAUACAGUGCAUCUGGAAAGUAAAGUGAAGCGCUGUGAAUACUUUCCGGAUGCACUGUAUCUAACAAAAUAAACAGUGAGCAGUAUAUCUAACAAAACACAUGAUCCAAGAGAUAAGGACAGGCCAAGCAGGUUAGUGGGUUAGCAUUCUAGCUCAGUAGUGAAGAUAAUAAAACUUUACUGUAUAUAAUUUAAAUGAAAUGUUACCUUUCCUUUUGGAGAAACACCUCCACAGAACCAGAAGUGACACUAAAACAAGCGCACAACCCCCGGCUACUAAAGCUGUUACCGUCAACCAAUCUGAAAACCAAAU